rnacentral:rRNA from 1 species
AACGAACGCUGGCGGCAUGCCUAACACAUGCAAGUCGAACGAGACCUUCGGGUCUAGUGGCGCACGGGUGCGUAACGCGUGGGAACCUGCCCUUAGGUUCGGAAUAACUCCCCGAAAGGGGUGCUAAUACCGGAUAAUGUCUUCGGACCAAAGAUUUAUCGCCUUUGGAUGGGCCCGCGUUGGAUUAGCUAGUUGGUAGGGUAAAAGCCUACCAAGGCGACGAUCCAUAGCUGGUCUGAGAGGAUGAUCAGCCACACUGGGACUGAGACACGGCCCAGACUCCUACGGGAGGCAGCAGUGGGGAAUAUUGGACAAUGGGCAAAAGCCUGAUCCAGCAAUGCCGCGUGAGUGAUGAAGGCCUUAGGGUUGUAAAGCUCUUUUACCCGGGAUGAUAAUGACAGUACCGGGAGAAUAAGCGCCGGCUAACUCCGUG